CUUGCCUCCUUCCUUCUUCAUCUCUGUUCUUGGCACCAGAAUAAAGCAGUUUCUGACAAGGUGGCUGCCUAAUUAAGCAAUAGUUGUUGGCAGGCAGAUGRGAAGAGCCGGUUAGACAAGAAAGGGGAUGAGAAUGGUAGCCAGUCCCUGGAGAUGUAUCUGAGAGGGAUUCCUGCUUUCCUGGUCCCUCUUUGCUUCUGGGCUAUUGACUUGUGCUCUGCUUCCAGAAUGGGAUAGCAGAGCACGGCAAAGGUUCUCCAGUCUCUGGAUUUUCAGCACGAAGCACUCGUAUUCCUUGGACCUCAUGGCUUUCUGUAGUCAAAGACAUCAGGCAAAGAAAGAACUCUCUGUGAAGGAUCAUUAAAGGCUGCCUGUAUCAGGACAUGAAGAUUUUGAGCCUUGAUGGCAGAGCAGAACACUGUUUAUUAUGAAAGCAAGUACAACAUGUGGAUAUGUUUGAUUUUUAACUCGCAUUCAUUACAGGAAAUAAGAACCCCAUCUGCAAGGAAACAUUCUCUUGGACUAUUUCCACAUGGUGGAAAGGUGUUGUUGGGCUUCAGCUCUGCCUACACACUCCAGCAGGAAGAUGUGCAGCCUGUGUCAAACCCUCUGUACCAG